CCGCCCUCCAAACUGUCCACCUUGAUCAGAAGUCUUCCCUUCUGAAAGGAUUCGAUCAGCGGGAAUUUGUGGCUGAAGCCCGGAGUCCGCGAUUGAGAAUGUGGAACUGACAGCAAUGCCGGGUGUCUGAGGGAGUCGCUGCCUCUGGGAUCCCCAGGGCACUGGGAGCUCUGCACACCUCUGGUACCCAAAGUUCCAAAUGCCCCUGAAUGGAGUCACUCUUUCCACUCGUGUCCUCAUCCACAACUUCGCCCACGGUCAGAAGUCUGACACAGUCUCAGUGGCUACAAUCAAGACAUCGGCAGAGCUGUGCUCCAUGUGAGGGCUGACGGGAAGCUCGGCACCUGCCCUGUCCCGCUACGAGCUGCUGCGCGUGGCCCCUGGCUUCGGGCCCCUCCCUUCACCUUUUCCUUUCUCCUUUCUUGUGGGAUUCAAUCCGGGCCCUUCGUGGAUGCUAAAAUGACUGAAAAACUUCUAUGACAACUAUUAAAAAAUCUCCAUCGUCUUGGCCACUUGGUCUAGUUAUUAGAUUGGGCUCAGUAAAGUACUAUACAUUGAAAUAUUUUACUGAAUUACUGAAUAGACGUUUCCCUACAGCAGAAAAAGAUCCAGACACAGGGGCGAUACCGGUAUCCUCUGCUGACAUCUUCUUGCCCAGGGUGCUUCACGGCAUGGAUGGGUUAAUCCUCAUUUUGCUACAAAAGGGACAGCCUUGCUGCAGACUCAGAGUAAUAGGCUUAGAGGUAUGCCUUUUUAAGAAGUAGCUAGAAUUGCACACAUUCUGUAAGUCACAGGUACAAAGGGUAGAAUAAAGAUAAAUUAGUACUUUAGAAACAAAGCUUUCUGACAUGAGCCAAAUUUCCUAUACACUGAACAGAAAACAGAGGCUGGGGGUGUCGCUCAGCAGUAGAGCACAUACUUAGCAUGGGCAGGGUCUGGGUUCAAUGCCCAGCACUAAAACCAAACAAAAGCAAAAGUGAUGUUUAGUCUGUUACCGCCCCCCAAGCCUCUUUAAUCUUAGCGCUCCCUGCCUCUCUAGUGACACUGCACAGUGAGAAUAACUACUGAGAGAUUAGGCUGUGGGCACCGGAUCCGAGCUUGGCCUCGAGCUUUUUCUCAAGGAUUUUGCAACUGGGACCAGAAAUCUAAGUCUGUGGGGCUGAGCAGCCGCCAGGGGCAGUUACUUUCUGCCCAGUGGGCUGAGAGACAGGGAAGGAUCGAGAAAAGUGAUCAGAGACAAGAGGAGUGGGAUGAUCCCAGCUCUACACAGUGAUUAGCGCUGAGUUCCCAGUCUUUUUUUUUUUUUUUUCCAAGUACUGGAGACUGCACUGAGGGUCUCUGCACUGAGCUGCAUUCUCAGGGUUUUCUUUUCUAAGAUAGGUUCUCUUUCAGGUGCUAAGCUGUCUAAACAGGGUCAAACUUGCUUUCCUGCGGUCUCAGCCUCCCGGAGUGCUAGAUCACAGGUGCGCACCACCAUGCCCAGCUGACCGAGCUCCUAGUCCUUUUUUAAGGCCCAGCAGCAUUACUGGGCUUGCAUGCCCUUCACCCUGUCCCCAAAGGACAAUCCUCGGCACCUUCUGCUGGUAAACUGGCUUAUUUUAGAGACAGAGUCUUGCUAUAUAGUUCAUGCUGGCCUUGGACUCAUGGUGAUCCUCCUGCCUCAGCUUCC